rnacentral:rRNA from 1 species
AUUGAACGCUGGCGGAAUGCUUUACACAUGCAAGUCGAACGGAUUUUAAAGAGCUUGCUCUUUAAAGUUAGUGGCGAACGGGUGAGUAAUAUAUAGGAACGUACCCAGUAGAGGGGGAUAACGACUCGAAAGAGUUGCUAAUACCGCAUACGCCCUGAGGGGGAAAGUGGGGGACCGCAAGGCCUCACACUAUUGGAGCGGCCUAUAUCUGAUUAGCUAGUUGGUAGGGUAAAGGCCUACCAAGGCGACGAUCAGUAGCUGGUUUGAGAGAAAGAUCAGCCACACUGGGACUGAGACACGGCCCAGACUCCUACGGGAGGCAGCAGUGGGGAAUUUUGGACAAUGGGCGAAAGCCUGAUCCAGCCAUUCCGCGUGAGUGAAGAAGGCCUUCGGGUUGUAAAGCUCUUUAGUCAGGGAGCAAAUCCUACGUGUAAAUAAUGCGUGGGGAUGAGAGUACCUGAAGAAUAAGCACCGGCUAACUACGUGCCAGCCGCCGCGGUAA